UACGAAGGGGGCUAGCGUUGUUCGGAAUCACUGGGCGUAAAGGGCGCGUAGGCGGCUUUAUAAGUCAGGGGUGAAAUCCCGAGGCUCAACCUCGGAACUGCCUUUGAUACUGCAAAUCUCGAGUCCGGAAGAGGUGAGUGGAAUUCCUAGUGUAGAGGUGAAAUUCGUAGAUAUUAGGAAGAACACCAGUGGCGAAGGCGGCUCACUGGUCCGGUACUGACGCUGAGGUGCGAAAGCCAGGGGAGCGAACGGG
rnacentral:rRNA from 1 species